CUGCCUGUGUCCACCAAGGAUGGCAGAUGGCUCACGAGCUUGGCUGGAAAAAUACAGCAAUGAAUCGAACAGGAAAGGGAGCAAGUCCUCUGAAUGCUCGCUUCCGAAAUCACCUCGCGGCAGUGUUCAAAAAGAGCCGCCGCGGAUUUUUCAUACAUGCAAAUCAGAUACACAGCUGGGGGGUGAACCUCAUCCGCUCCCCAAAUCUGCCCUUGUUGUUCGUAGGGUCGGCAAUUUGGCGGUCCUCCUUGCACCUGUUCUUCCUGCACUGUUUCCCUCCGCACUCGCUUCUCCGGGAGGCAGCGUGAGCCAGGCGCGUGGGCUGAAGUGGAAUCGGCGGCAGAUCCUCCCCUCUCUCCCUCCCCCCCGCUUCUAUUUUUAGUCAACCCUCCUCAAAUCGCCGCGGAGGGCUGAGAGCGUAAAGCUCAGCCCCUCGUGGCGGUGGCGUGGCGGAGGCCCCAUUCCGGAUCCCUUCCUUCGCAUCUCUUCCUUCGCAAUCCCACCGCGAGCAUCGGCUGGUCGUUCCACCUCUGCACUCAGCGCUCACCCGGCCGCCGGCUUGCUCGCCUGGGCAGCAGAUCGUGGGAAGCUUCUUCCGCCACAACCGGGAUAGAGGAGGAAAAAAAGUGAAAGGAGAAAGGAAAGGCUGGAGUACAAAAAAUUGAAUGCUGCAGACUGACAUCAAAUUGGUGAGCCCACUAAAAAUAGAAGCAGUUUUGAACAUUUGAUAUUUGUGUCCACUGUCCAUCACCACUUCAGUAACAAUGAGUUUCACAGUACAAGAUGGAGUUUCAAGACGCGAUCAGCUCUUGGCUCAGCAAAGAAUGCACAGCAUGAUCAGCUCAGGUAGG